rnacentral:misc_RNA from 1 species
AAGUCGUAACAAGGUUUCCGUAGGUGAACCUGCGGAACGGAUCCAAUUGCAAACGAAUUAGGGGCGUUCGCGGCAAUUCUCACCCUUUGUAUACCGAAACCAUGUUGCUUUUGGCAGGCCCCCUGCAUUUCUCGGGCCUGCCAGAGGUUAUAAACCCUAGAAUCUCUGCUGUCUGAGUACUAUACAAUAGUUAAAA